UAGUUUUAUAAAAGUGAAACGAAUGGUGAUUUGUGUAAACAAAAGUGCAGCUAUAGCCGCGUAGAAUAACAAUGGGAUUAGGAGGCUUUACUUACAUUAGUGACUCAUCCCCAAUCUUUUUAUGAACAGAAGGAAUGCCUCAGCUGACAGUGAGUUCACGACACGAUAUAUAAACAGGUGAUUUUGAUUUGCAACAUGCUCCCGAUCGAUCGUCAAAUUUGAUUUCUCAUUCUCGUGCACGAUCCAACGAAUUCUUUUUAUCGGCUGCGUCGCAUUUUUAUCGGCUGGGUCGCGCGGGCCGAGAGAAAUGUAAGUAGGAAAGUGCAUAAAGCCGGCUGGCUGUACACAAAAUUUUUACUGCUACCUGCAGCCGGACCAAAAAUAAACGCAGUUAAACACGAAACGCCCUGAAUACGAUGCACAUAAUUCACACGUAACCCAAAUUCUAAAUAUCGCGGCUGAAUACACACGCACACACGCACACACAUACACACACUUGCAACUUACAUCUAUUCUUAAAUUCUGGGCAUUGAAUUUCUUUUCAGCAGUGCCGAGACUUCCAUAAGGCAGCUGAAAUUCCUGCUCUAUAUUUUUCGUUAACGGCCAUAUCUUAUCGUUGGACGUACGUACGUAAGUACUUACUUAUACACAUAAUUGUCUUAACGAUCGAUGAAAAAUUAUUGGCCAAAGCGGCCAAUUAACGGAACCAUUUUACGCAACUUCGUCGCUUCACCUUGAAAUACAUUAACUUAAGGCCAGAAUGUGAGAUAAAAUACGAGACCGAGGGACAGAAUAUUGGCCGGCUGCUUGUGAUACACGUGAUAGUCGAAUAGCAGCGAAACUAUUACAAAGGUGGAUCAUUUACGAGAGUCAGAGUACGUCGGAAUGUAGCACAAGAAGCGAAUGUUGUUGGCAAAUAGGUUAACAGGUGACAAUGUGGUCACAAAAAACUAGUUUUAUAUAUAUAUAUAUAUAUAUAUAUAUAUAUAAUGAAUGAAACGUGCAUUCUUCGCAAGAAUAAUCAAACAUCCCGUGUCCUAUUUGUUGAUAAAUUUUAUGAAAUCUGUCAUACCGAUCGUCGCGCGAAAAGUCAUACCGACUAGUGAUUGAUCAAAGUAAAAGAAUUCGAGUUUCAUUUCCCUAUGCACAGGCUGCUACGAAAAUAAUCCCGCGAGAUCGCACGCAAAGCGAAAAAUAAUCAUGGUCGAUGUUCUAUUUGCGGAGAGUAUCAAGGGAGCGGAAAUGCUGAAAAUUCAUUCAAGAAACCAUUCCAACACGGCUGCGCGGAUAUUUCGUUCGCGUAAUUAUCGUUUCGACCUUUGUGAACUAAAAAUAGUAAAACGUGGGUGUCGAUUGCAUUUUAACGAGGCGUAAUCGUGGAAUUCGCAAUAAACAGCCGGCAGAGGUGUGUUGCCUCGCGCACGGGGAACUUAUCAUCGCAUAACAAUCGACUUAGUGGGUACAUAUGUAGCGUGUGGUGUGGGUCACCCGAUUCCAAUCUAAGAUUUGGCGCACAGCCGAAACUUUUCAGAGGUUAACGAUCCUCCUCUCUUCGCAUUGAGGAAGAAAAUCGAUCGAUCGCUCGCCCAUUUACAAUUCCCCUCGAUCUUCGUACAGUACUUCCAACCCUUUGAAAUGGUUCGUAAAGCUAACGCCAGAAUGCGUUGCACCGGACGAUCGUUCUCUCUUCUCUCAUUUGGUCACAUCCAAGGAAGAUUACAGGUAUCGUGAACGAAACUCAUCUGUCGGUUAAACGCCGGUUAAAUUUGGAAACGGUUGCCAAUCGGAAGACAGGCUUCAACUAUGAUCGAGAUGUCUUCAAUCGCGUGCAUUAUCUGCAGAAAUGACGGAUAUAAGUAUAUACCCGGCAAACCGUAACGAAUACGAAUAAUCGUAUCACGUAAAGUAACCUGUCGACAGUAAUAUUAGAUAAGCGGUUCCGUAACCUUCGACGAUUGCUGCCCGCAACAAGUUCCUAGGUUAGAACAUUUCAUCGAGCGCUAACAUUGCUGGCGCCGACCGUGUCCAACACGAAGGAGGAGAUGAUCGUACCCUGUUCUCGUGCCACGAGAAAAUCAUAGAAAAAUCUUGAGAACAAUUUUGACUAAGGAAUUGGCUUUUCAGAUUUCGUUCAAUCUCUACAAGAUUGUUCAAUUAUGAAGCAAGUAUAAAUACGUACAGCAAGUGUUUGCAAAGCGUCAAACGAAGCGACUCAUUUGAAAGGGAAAAAUGCCUAUCACCGUUCUCUCCAGAAUGCUUCGUGCGCAGUUCGAAAGUCGAUCAAGUAGCAAGAAAUUUUGUGAGAAAUUACGGGCAAGUUACCUAAGUCGGUAGCUUCGUUUUUAGAGUAUGUUGCUAUCUGUAAAAAAUAUUAUUGAACAUUUGAAUAUAAUUUUUAUUAUUUUAUUAUUUUAUCUUGAGUGCAAUAUCUGUAAUGCAAAU